ACUGCAUUUCAUCAAUCAUGAAAGUGGCUUUGAAUUGCACAAGGGAAUCUCCAAAGGAGAGAAGCAACAUGCAUGAUGUUCUUGCUGAUUUGAAGAAGAUCAAACUUCAGCUACUGCCAUGUUCAAAUUAAAAGGAGGUCAAUGCGCUUCCAAAUUUACUAGUUCCCGGAGUAGAACGAAAAUAUGAUAACAAGUGCCAAUUUGACAGAAAAGAAGUCCAGAUGAAAGAGCUUGUCCCAGGGGUAUUUUUGGAAAAGGAGAUGUUACGCCCAUUUUGGUGAAUUUCGCGAGGGAAGGACGGCUGAAGGGCUUCGUUAUGCUGAGGUGCCGCCGCAAUUAAAAGAAAGAAGAGGAAGCAAUGGAACGGGGGGCUUGAUAAAGUCUUUCGUCUGUAGCUUAGGAUGAAUUGCUGACUUUUCCAAGAGGAAUUCUUGUGGCCUUUCUUACGCAUAGCAGCACUUAGCAUUCUUAGCUUUUGACUUUUCCUAGGACUUACUCUUGAGUCUUGGCUUUAGGAAAUUACGCAUGUCAGGAGCAAGCAAUUGUUAGCCUUGAGCUUUGACUUUUCUUUUUGAUCUCUUUUCGAUUUUGAAUCCUGCGCAUGUCAAGACCGGAUGGAGGAACUUUGACUCCUUUGACUCCUAAUUCUUAGUAGCUUCGUUUCCUUCCGCGGAUGAAAAGAGCAAAUUGGAUGACUUGACUUCGUUUUCCUUUGCAAUUUGAACGACUUGAAUUUGUC